CAAAUUUUGUUUAUCACUUGUAAUGCUCAAAUUUUGGUGUCUUGGGAUUAUGUUUGAAAAGCACAAGGGUACAUUCAGUCACAUCGAGAACAAAAAGAUUCUGACCCGCUUAGAUUGGUUUGGAUGGUGCACUUGGGAUGUUUCUAUAAAGAAGUUAAUCCAACUGGUAUCAAAGCGGGUCUUCAAAGUUUCUUAGAAGGAGGAUGUUCACCAAAAUUCUUAAUCAUAGAUGAUGGAUGGCAAGAUAUAGUCAAUGGAUUUUAAAAAGAAGGCGAACCACUUACUGAAGAAAUACAGUUUGCCACUAGAUUAGCUGAUAUUAACGAAAAUAGCAAAUUCAAGAGCUUAGAUUUAGAUGGCUCGUGCACAAAUCUCAAAGAGCUCGUUGAUACCAUCAAACAGAAAUAUGGCCUGAAAUACGUCUAUAUGUGGCAUGCUUUAGCUGGUUACUGAGGAGUUCUUCCUACAUCCGAAACUUUGAAAAAAUACAAUCCCAAGAUCGCGUAUCCGGUUCAAUCCCCUAGAAACUUAGGAAAUAUUAGAGAUAUUGCCUUGGACAGCUUAGAGAAAUAUGGAGUUGGAGUAAUAGAUGCUCAAAAAAUCUAUGAUUUCUAUAAUGAUCUCCACAAUUAUCUUGCUAGUUGUGGAGUUGACGGCGUCAAGGUUGAUGUCCAAAACUUGAUGGAAACAUUGGGUUCUGUAUUUGGUGGACGGGUGUCACUUACUAAGAAGUAUCAUGAAGCUCUUGAUGAAUCUAUUGAGAGGAACUUCAAAGACAAUAACCUGAUUUGUUGCAUGUCUCAUAAUUCAGACUCUAUUUACAGAUUUAUCUUCUAUCCGACCUAUCUCAUUUUCAAAUUUCAUCAGCACCAAAUUAUGUCUUGACUGUUUUAGUGUAUUUUCAGUUCAAAGAAGAGUGCAACAGCUAGAGCAUCAGAAGAUUUCAUGUCUAAUGAGCCGACCUUCUAGACCUUACAUGUUACAAUAGUGGCUUAUAAUAGUCUUCCACUCGGGGAAAUAGUAGUGCCAGACUGGGACAUGCUCCACGUAAAAAUUCCCGUGUUAAUACCAUUUACGUCAUAUACAGCUGGAAUUUAUAAAAAUUGAAGUAGAGUUCUCUGAAAUGCUAAUACUUGCUCUUUCAUGUUGUAGAGCAAUCACAACACUGCUGAGUUCCACAGUGCAGCAAGAGCAUUAGUGUAACGACCCGACUUGUCGUUUUAAGAAUUAACGCCCCGUUCAACGAAUUAAGAUUUUGAGCAGCUUCGUA